GUUUUCCUAUACACUAUGAUACAAAGUUCAUCAAAUAUGGUUGUUACAGACUUUUUGAGAACACCUAAAUUUAUCUUAGUAAUUUCUACAUUGAAAAACUACUAUUACAUUUAAACAAAACUAUCCAUUGCAAUAAAUCUGAAACAGUUCUUUAAUAUUGCAGAACAGAAAAUUGAUGGCAUUAUUCACUGAAUGCCAAUAUUUUCCAAUAACACCUCACACCACAAUAUAUGUACCUUAUAUAGUUUAACACCUAUAGGGGUUCUUAACAAAAUGGAUAGAUAAUUAAAGAGUGAAAUGAGACUCAGAAACAAUUAAUUAUGGUAAAAAUUAUUAUUACCUUAUUUCAAAUACUAGUGCAACCUUUUGCUUUUUUUCCCCAAAAGUUAAUUUUUUUUAACCUUUGGUAUGACAUUUCACUUUAUUUAUAUAACAUGAUAAAUAGUACUGUUUUUUCAUAUGUUAUCUCUGAUGCAUCUCAUAUAUAUUUGCAUACCUCAAGACCUUAGCAG
rnacentral:lncRNA from 1 species